UGAACGCGCUGGUUCCACGCGUCACCAUGGAGACCAUGAGACAUCCUAUCACGUGACGUAUUAGCACGUGAUCACUCGUUCUUCCUGCUUCCGCAUCACGUUCACAGGGAGCUGCCUUUCGUUCCGAGACUCCAGAGUUCAGAAUGGACACGCAGCAAGUGCGCCACCGGACAUCGCCGGAAAAAGAAGAGGACUCCCCCAGAACCGGGCCAGACGCCUCGGAGCUGGCAGAGCGGAGGAGGGAGGCUCAGGGCUGUUUACAGGCUUUAUCCCAGCACUCGUACUGGUUUGAUUUGUGGAUCUUCCUGCUGUUUGACCUGGUUCUCUUUAUCUUCGUGUACCUGCUUCCGUGAGCGAGUAUAUUUUUGAACAUUCCAAAGAACACCAUGAAAACAAAAUAUUCUACAGGAUUCCUGGCAAUCUGUUUUCUUGCUUACGAUAGAGAUGACACUUACCAGACUGCGGCAUCAAUUUACUGCAAGAUUGAUUGGCCAGGAAGUGUGGAGGUUGAAGGACUAAUUUAUCUCUCAAGUGUCUUCUGAAAUAUUUAUUUCUGUAAUAAUUAUUCUUUUUUCUAAUUAUUGUACGAAAAUGCCUGAAUCCAAGCUGUAUGGAGAUCUCACCUCAAAGGUUGACAUAUACAGCUGCAACAUAAUGUAUUGAUGGAAUUUCUUUGGCCAUUAAAAUGCAUCCAUGAUAUUUCCAUAAAAAUAUUUAUAAGGAUCAUCACUCAUGCCAGUUUUACUUUAUUUUCACUCAUCUUUCUUAACCAAAGAACAUCUGUUGGAUAUGUAGAUUUAUUAAAUACUUGGUAUUUU